GCAGUUGAGCGCUGAAGUUGGUACUUGUACCGACUGGAUGAGCAGCGAACGGCCGAUAAAUGCGUGGGGAAUCUGCCUUUGAGCGGGGGACAACAUUUGGAAACGAAUGCUAAUACCGCAUAAAAACUUUAAACACAAGUUUUAAGUUUGAAAGAUGCAAUUGCAUCACUCAAAGAUGAUCCCGCGUUGUAUUAGCUAGUUGGUGAGGUAAAGGCUCACCAAGGCGAUGAUACAUAGCCGACCUGAGAGGGUGAUCGGCCACAUUGGGACUGAGACACGGCCCAAACUCCUACGGGAGGCAGCAGUAGGGAAUCUUCGGCAAUGGACGAAAGUCUGACCGAGCAACGCCGCGUGAGUGAAGAAGGUUUUCGGAUCGUAAAACUCUGUUGGUAGAGAAGAACGUUGGUGAGAGUGGAAAGCUCAUCAAGUGACGGUAACUACCCAGAAAGGGACGGCUAACUACGUGCCAGCAGCCGCGGUAAUACGUAGGUCCCGAGCGUUGUCCGGAUUUAUUGGGCGUAAAGCGAGCGCAGGUGGUUUAUUAAGUCUGGUGUAAAAGGCAGUGGCUCAACCAUUGUAUGCAUUGGAAACUGGUAGACUUGAGUGCAGGAGGGGAGAGUGGAAUUCCAUGUGUAGCGGUGAAAUGCGUAGAUAUAUGGAGGAACACCGGUGGCGAAAGCGGCUCUCUGGCCUGUAACUGACACUGAGGCUCGAAAGCGUGGGGAGCAAACAGGAUUAGAUACCCUGGUAGUCCACGCCGUANACGAUGAGUGCUAGAUGUAGGGAGCUAUAAGUUCUCUGUAUCGCAGCUAACGCAAUAAGCACUC
rnacentral:rRNA from 1 species